AGGGUAGAUCAGUGCUUCCCAGGGGCUGUGGUGUAUCAGAAUCACACGGGAGAUUUGUUUUGUAAGUGCUGAGGACCCAUUCCAAAGAUUCUAAUGUAGUAGCUCUGGGUUCUAGAGAGCGGUUUGGAGAAGCGCAGGAAGAGAAGCCAAGAAAACUGUUAGUUUGGUGUCAUACCAGUGAUGCGUGGCCCAGAUUAGGACAGUGGCUGGAGAGAUGUGAGGGCACUUCCUACAGGUGCAUGGCUAGGUCGUGUCCGAGAAGCAGCCAUCCUGGCGGAACCUCAUGGAGCUCAGGGCCGUUACCACGAGCAGCAGCUGUGACAGCUGAUCCAUCACGCUUCACUCUGUGGUGCGUCUUUACUUAGUGCACGAUUCCGUUACUACAGCACCGCAUGGCUUGCAGGAUCUUGGUUCCCCGGCCAGGGGUCAGGCCUGAGCUCCUGUGGUGGGAGAGCUGAGUCCAAACCACUGGAUUAACAGAGAACCUCAGACCCCAGGGAAUAGUAAUCAGAGUGAGGUCUCCCGGAGGUCCUCAUCGGGGCACCAAGACCAGGCUCUACCCGACUGCCUGCAAACUACAGUGCUAGACGCCUCAGGCCAAACAACCAGUAAGACAGCAAUACAGCCCCACCCAUCAAAAAACACGAGACAACAAAAAAUUAUGUUACAGACGAAGAAGCAAGGUAAAAACCAACAAGACCAAAUAAAUGAAAAGGAAAUAGGCAACUCACCUGAAAAAGAAUUUGGGCUAAUGAUAGUAAAGGUUACCCAAAAUCUCACAAACAGAAUGGAGAAAAUACAAGAAAUGUUUCAUAAGGACCUAGAAGAACUAAAGAGCAAACAAACAGUGAUGAACAACACAGUAACUGAAAUUAAAAAUACUCUAGAAGGAAUCAAUAGCAGAAAAACUGAGGUAGAAGAAUGGAUAAGUGAGUUGGAAGAGAAAAUGGUGGAAAUAAUGGCUGUGGAGCACAGUAAGGAAAAAAGAAUGAAAAUAAUUGAGGACAGUCUCAGAGACCUCUGGGACAACACUAAACAAACCAACAUUCAGAUUAUAGGUGUCCCAAAAGAAGAAGAUAAAGAGAAAAGGUCUGAGAAAAUAUUUGAAGAGAUUAUAGUUGAAAACUUCCCUAACAUGGGAAAUGAAAUACCACCUAAGUCCAGGAAGCACAGAGAGUCCCAUACAGGAUAAACCCUAGGAGAAACACACCAAGACACAUAUUAAUCAAACUAACAAAAAUUAAAUUCAAAGAAAGAAUAUUAAAAGCAGCAAUGGAAAAGCAACAAAUAACAUAGAAGGGAAUCCCUAUAAGGUUAUCAGUUGAUUUCUCAGAAGAAACUCUGCAGGCCAGAAGGCAGUGGCAGGAUAUAUUUAAAGUGAUAAAAGGGAAAAACCUACAACCAAGAUUAUUCUACCCAGCAAGGAUCUCAUUCAGAUUCAAUGGAGAAAUCAAAAACUUUACAGACAAGCAAAAGCUAUGAGAAUUCAGCACCACCAAACCAGCCGUACAACAAAUGCUAAAGGAACUUUUCUAAGAGGCAAACACAAGAGAAGAAAAAGACCCACAAAAACAAACCCAAAUCAAUUAAGAAAAUGGUAAUAGGAACACAUAUAUCGAUAAUCACCUUGAAUGUAAAUGGAUUAAAUAUUCCAACCAAAAGACUCAGACUGGCUGAAUGGAUAGAAAGACAAUACCCGAAUAUAUGCUGUCUACAAGAAACCCAC